rnacentral:rRNA from 1 species
GGUCGAAAGACCCGUGGAGGCCCGAAGGGGUGUUGAUGUGCAAAUCGCUCCCCUGACCCGCGUCUAGGGGUGAAAGUCCAAUCGAGCCCGGGGAUAGCUGGUUCCCCCCGAAACAUACCGCAGUAUGACCCGCCCGGAGGUAGGCGGUGGGGUAGAGCACUGAUUGGGGGAGCCGGGGGGUGACACCCUCGCCCCCCUGUCAAACUCCGAAUCCACCGCCGCCGUAGAUGGGCGGAGUCGGGGCACGGGGGUAAGCUCCGUGUCCGCGAGGGAGACAACCCAGACCGGGGUUAAGGCCCCUAAGUGCCGGCUAAGUGUAAACGAUAAAGGAGGUCCCGGGCCGAAGACAGCUGGGAGGUAGGCUUAGAAGCAGCCAUCCUCUAAGGAGUGCGUAACAGCUCACCAGCCGAGGCUCGGGGCGCCGAAAAUGGACGGGGCUCAAGCCGGCCGCCGAUACCCCGGGGCGCCGAAAGGCGAUCCGGUAGGGGGGCGUGCCGAUGGCGUAGAAGCCCGAGGCGUAAGCUCGGGUGGAGCCGUCGGUAACGAGAAUCCUGGCGGUAGUAGCAGCGUAGUCGGGUGAGAAUCCCGACCGCCGGAAGGGCAAGGGUUCCACGGCGAUGUUCGUCAGCCGUGGGUUAGCCGGUCCUAAGGCCGCUCGUAACUCGACGCGGCCGAAAAGGGAAGCCGGUUAAUAUUCCGGCGCCGCCCGCCCGGCUGCACCGCAAGGUGCGGUUGCCGCUUAUGCGGCCCCGACGCCUCGGGAUAGGCCGAGCCGGUGUCGCCAGCCGGUCCAAGCGCCGAAGCCCCCGGAGUUCCGUAAUGGAGAGAAGGGGGUGAAGGCGUGAUGGCGUAAGUCGGCCGACUCCUGGGGCCCGUGAAAAGGGGGGCGGGAGGACCGUACCGAGAACCGACACAGGUGCCCUGGGUUAGCAGCCUAAGGCGUGGCGGAACACUCCGGCCGAGGGAAAUCGGCAAAUUGGCCCCGUAUCUUCGGUAGAAGGGGUGCCUGCGGUCUUGGCCUUAUGGCUGGGACCGCAGGUCGCAGUGACUUGGGGGGGGCGACUGUUUACUAAAAACACAGGGGGCUGCAACCCCGUAAGGGUUAGUACAGCCCCUGAGUCCUGCCCAGUGCGGGUACCUGAAAGCCGGGUUCAACCGGCCGAAGGGCCCGUAAACGGCGGGGGUAACUAUGACCCUCUUAAGGUAGCGUAAUACCUUGCCGCUUAAUUGGCGGCUUGCAUGAACGGAUUAACGACCCCCCCACUGUCCCCGGCCGGAAGCCGGCGAACCCGACAUCCCAGUGAAGAGUCUGGGGACCCCCGAUGGGAAGCGAAGACCCUGUGGAGCUUUACUGCAGCCUGCCGUUGCCUCACAGCUGGGGGUGCGCAGCGUAGGCGGGAGGCUUCGAAGCCCGGUCUCCGGGCCGGGUGGAGCCGUCCAUGAGACACCGCCCACCUCCAGCUGUGGGGCUAACCGCUUCGUGCGGGACAUCGGUAGGUGGGCAGUUUGGGUGGGGCGCCACGCGCCCGAAAACCUAACAGGCGUGCCCAAAGGUCAGCUUAGGUGGUUCAGUCUCCACCGUAAACCGUAAGGGGAAAAGCUGGCUUGACGUGGAUCGGAUCAAUAACGAUCGACGAUGCGAAAGCAGGGCCUAACGAACCAAUGUGCCUCAUUUCUGGGGGCCAUUGAUAACAGAAAAGUUACCUCGGGGAUAAUUGAGUUGUCACCAGCAAGAGCACAUAUCGACCUGGUGGCUUGCUACUUCGAUGUCGUCUCUUCCCAACCUCCCGGUGCAGCAGCUGGGAAGGGUGGGGUUGUUCGCCCAUUAAAGGGGAUCGUGAG